UGGGGAAUAUUGGACAAUGGGCGCAAGCCUGAUCCAGCAAUACCGCGUGUGUGAAGAAGGCCUUAGGGUUGUAAAGCACUUUCAAUUGGGAGGAAAACCUGCCGGUCAAUACCCGGUAGCUUGACAUUACCUUUAGAAGAAGCACCGGCGUAACUCCGUG
rnacentral:rRNA from 1 species